UGUAAAAUAAAUAUGUGCAUGUAGCUGCCGACACCAGCCAUCAAGACAUCAUAGAUGAGAUCAAUGGAUCAUCAGAAAUGGGUACAGAGAGAUAGUUAGAUAUAUAGCUACCACAAACAGAACAAUGAGCCAGAUAUUUCACUGGAUGUAUAAAUGUGAAGCAUCUGGUUGGCGGUUCCACUCAGUUGCAUUCGGUGCAGUUUAAGAUUUUGAAUUUUUUUAUAAGCGUUAUUUGUAUUUCUAUUACAGCAUAUUGGAUGACUGCCAUGCAUAUUCCAUUCACCCAGCUCAAUGUAACAUCGAUAGAUUUAGGCUACUACAUGAUACUCAAAUUUUCCCUAUACCCAUCAGCUUGCUACAUCAGGUUGCUACAACCUAGCCUAUUAAUCAGUCCCUCCAGGAUUCUGCGAUCUCAUAAUUCAAUGCAAAAUCAACCAAUCAGGGCAUAUUAUGCUAGAGCCCUCAAUUUUGACCAAUACAAUGAACAGAAAUCAAUAUAAUUUGCCAACUAAAAUAACAGCUAACGAUCGUGCAAAACAAUUUCCAUUUUUUGGGAAACUAGAGAAAGUCGACAAUACACAGAAAAGCAUAUGAGAAUGUCAGAACAGUGCCCACAGCAGCGGCAGAUCGCCAUGACUGAAGUGGUAGCAGGGAAGACUGUGGCAAGCGCUGAAAGAAUCAAGUCUAUGAGACCAGGCUGGCUGUCGUGGUGGGGCAGCAUGCAUCACGUGUCUCCAGGACCCUGUGGGCUGAACCCUUACUCAAUGCUGUUGAAGCCCUAUGCUCCAAGGGGCUAAAAGAAAAGUUGAAGUUGCCCUCCAUCCAGCCCUCCUCAAGAGUAAAAGCGAGGAGAAUGAUAUCAAAUCUGGGUCUGGAGAAACCUUAGCGGUUUGGACCGUCGGGCCAGUAGCUGAAAGGUUCUUGGUUUGAAUCCCCAAGCCGACUAGGUGAAAAAUCUGUCCUUGAGCAAGGCACUUAACCCUAAUUGCUCCUGUAAGUCACUCUAGAUAACAGUGUCUGCUAAAUUACUAAAAUGUAAAAUGUGAAGUGUGUGUGUAUUUACAAGCGUAUUAUUCCAAUAUGAUCCUAUGAACAAUUCUGAAGUCCGAGGUAUCUUCUACAUAAAAAAAUGUAUUUCAUCAAUAGGACCAUGGGAAGGGUGGGUCCCCAUAAACCAUGUUAUAAACUGAUUGACCUCAUAAACCAUAUAUACAAGUAUAUGUCUGUGUGUGUGAACAGUUCAUAUACUGUAUGAAAAAAUACCUGAUUAAAUUAAACCAAUUUUAUGAAACUAAGACUGUUGAAUCCUGAUAGUUAAAAUAGCAUGAGAAAAUAUAUUGUUCAUUCAUAGAUGAUUGCUUUGUGAGGUUAAACCAACCUUUUGUUGGUGUCUCUAUAUUCUCAGAAAGGGGGACAUUGGCAAAUUGAAUAAAUAAGGCCUGACAAAAUACUAAAUCUAUCCUGUUUACCAAGGACCUCCUCCAGUAUUACUGUCAUCACCACAGCGGCUAGAUAACUGCCGAUGCAAGACUCUAAGCCGAACAUACUGCAAGCCAAACAUGUUGAAGAGCAGGUUUAUUCAUAGAGUCCACAGUCAUUAUGUGAUUCCCUAAUGG